GAGUUUGAUCAUGGCUCAGGUUGAACGCUGGCGGCAUGCUUUACACAUGCAAGUCGAACGGUAACAGGUCUUCGGAUGCUGACGAGUGGCGAACGGGUGAGUAAUGCAUCGGAACGUGCCCAGUCGUGGGGGAUAACGCAGCGAAAGCUGUGCUAAUACCGCAUACGAUCUGCGGAUGAAAGCGGGGGACCUUUGGGCCUCGCGCGACUGGAGCGGCCGAUGGCAGAUUAGGUAGUUGGUGGGGUAAAGGCUCACCAAGCCGACGAUCUGUAGCUGGUCUGAGAGGAUGAUCAGCCACACUGGGACUGAGACACGGCCCAGACUCCUACGGGAGGCAGCAGUGGGGAAUUUUGGACAAUGGGCGAAAGCCUGAUCCAGCCAUUCCGCGUGCAGGAUGAAGGCCUUCGGGUUGUAAACUGCUUUUGUACGGAACGAAAAGGCUCUGGUUAAUACCCGGGGUUGAUGACGGUACCGUAAGAAUAAGCACCGGCUAACUACGUGCCAGCAGCCGCGGUAAUACGUAGGGUGCAAGCGUUAAUCGGAAUUACUGGGCGUAAAGCGUGCGCAGGCGGUGAUGUAAGACAGAGGUGAAAUCCCCGGGCUCAACCUGGGAACUGCCUUUGUGACU
rnacentral:rRNA from 1 species